ACGCUCGACACCUACGGGCGGCAGCAGUAGGGAAUCUUCCACAAUGGACGCAAGUCUGAUGGAGCAACGCCGCGUGAGUGAAGAAGGUCUUCGGAUCGUAAAACUCUGUUGUUAGAGAAGAACACGAGUGAGAGUAACUGUUCAUUCGAUGACGGUAUCUAACCAGCAAGUCACGGCUAACUACGUACCAGCAGCCGCGGUAAUCUGAGCGGGCUGGCAAGGC
rnacentral:rRNA from 1 species